rnacentral:rRNA from 1 species
UACGGGGGGGGCAAGCGUUGUUCGGAAUUACUGGGCGUAAAGGGCGCGUAGGCGGCGCGACAAGUCACUUGUGAAAUCUCUGGGCUCAACCCAGAACGGUCAAGUGAUACUGUCGUGCUAGAGUGCGGAAGGGGCAACUGGAAUUCUUGGUGUAGCGGUGAAAUGCGUAGAUAUCAAGAGGAACACCUGCGGCGAAGGCGGGUUGCUGGGCCGACACUGACGCUGAGGCGCGAAAGCCAGGGGAGCGAACGGG